UACGGAGGGUGCGAGCGUUGUCCGGAAUCACUGGGCGUAAAGGGCGCGUAGGCGGCCUGAUAAGUAGGGGGUGAAAUCUUGCGGCUUAACCGCAAGGCUGCCUUCUAAACUGUCAGGCUAGAGCACAGUAGAGGCAGGUGGAAUUCCCGGUGUAGCGGUGGAAUGCGUAGAGAUCGGGAAGAACAUCAGUGGCGAAGGCGGCCUGCUAGGCUGUUGCUGACGCUGAGGCGCGACAGCGUGGGGAGCAAACAGG
rnacentral:rRNA from 1 species